rnacentral:rRNA from 1 species
AGAGUUUGAUCCUGGCUCAGAACGAGCGCUGGCGGCAGGCCUAACACAUGCAAGUCGAGCGCUGUAGCAAUACAGAGCGGCGCACGGGUGAGGAACACGUGGGAACGUACCCAACGGUUUGGGAUAACUCAGGGAAACUUGAGCUAAUACCGAAUACGCCCCUCUUUGGUGACAUUGAUGGGGAAAGAUUUAUCGCCGAUGGAGCGGCCCGCGUCCGAUUAGCUUGUUGGUGAGGUAAAAGCUCACCAAGGCGACGAUCGGUAGCUGGUUUGAGAGAACGAUCAGCCACACUGGGACUGAGACACGGCCCAGACUCCUACGGGAGGCAGCAGUGGGGAAUCUUGGACAAUGGGGGCAACCCUGAUCCAGCCAUGCCGCGUGAGUGAUGAAGGCCCUAGGGUUGUAAAACUCUUUCGGCGGGGACGAUAAUGACGGUACCCGCAGAAGAAGCUCCGGCUAACUUCGUGCCAGCAGCCGCGGUAAUACGAAGGGGGCUAGCGUUGUUCGGAAUUACUGGGCGUAAA